rnacentral:rRNA from 1 species
AUACGAACCGGACAAACGUUAUUCGGAAUUAUUGGGCUUAAAGGGUGCGUAGGCGGCGCGGUAAGUGAGGUGUGAAAGCCCACGGCUCAACCGUGGAAUUGCGCUUCAUACUGCCGUGCUAGAGGGAGACAGAGGUAAGCGGAACUGAUGGUGGAGCGGUGAAAUGCGUUGAUAUUAUCAGGAACACCGGUGGCGAAAGCGGCUUACUGGGUCUCUUCUGACGCUGAGGCACGAAAGCUAGGGUAGCGAACGGGAUUAGAAACCCCGGUAGUCC